rnacentral:rRNA from 1 species
UACGGGGGGGGCAAGCGUUGUUCGGAAUUAUUGGGCGUAAAGAGCUCGUAGGUGGUUUGUCGCGUUGUUCGUGAAAACUCACAGCUUAACUGUGGGCGUGCGGGCGAUACGGGCAGACUGGAGUACUGCAGGGGAGACUGGAAUUCCUGGUGUAGCGGUGGAAUGCGCAGAUAUCAGGAGGAACACCGGUGGCGAAGGCGGGUCUCUGGGCAGUAACUGACGCUGAGGAGCGAAAGCGUGGGGAGCGAACAGG